CUGCUCUUCUUGCUCUUCUCCCUUCUGAUACAAUCUUCGUUGAAACCCUAGCUGUUCCGUCUUCAAGCAAUGCAUCCCAGAGAUUUCUUUACAAUUUUGGUAAAGCACUAUCUUUUCGUUGUUUUUUUUAAUCUCUUCUUCGAUGCCCCCUUGGUUCUUAUUACCUCCGGGCGAUUAUGAGGAAAUCAUCUUCCAUAAAUCGCAAAACUUGAUUUCUGGUUCAAUCGCAGGUUUGAUCAUCCAAGGUUCGGAUCCUAUAUAUCUAUACUUCCCAUACAAAUCACAAACUCACUUCUGUCAAACCCUAAAUCCCAAAAUCGCAAACCUGCUUCAUCUGUUCUCACCGAUUCAUCAUUGAUAAUCGAAGGUAUGUUGUUUAUUUCAUUCCCUCUGUGAUUUUUAUUGUUAAUGUAAUAAAAUUUGUUAAUCUUAACCCUUUUGUGUUUGAUAUUGUUCAUGUAUAAUAGAUUGGUUGAUAAUUGUUAUAGGGUUGAUAAUUGUUUUGAACUCUGGCAAAAAUUCAAAUCUCCGGCAAACUAGAUCUAAUUUAUGUUGAAAAUCUGAAUCUCCAGGAUACCUCUUCCAAAGUGGGUAUUGGAGGAGAUCAAUAAUGACCCUAAUCUUGCAUACACAGAUCAACGGGGAAGAAUGAAUAAUGAAUAUCUUUCCCUUGGGUGUGGCACCAUCCUCUGCCUCAAGGGCAGGACUCCCAUUCAUUGCUACUCCGACUACAUGCGUGCUUUCAGGGAUUUUGGUACAGUCAUCUUCUCGGUGUCACUAUUGUGGAAAUUCAAGUUGGAAUGGGUCCAGCCGGAGUGGUUCGAUACCCAUCUUAGCUUGAGAAAGACGGAAUAUGGAGAUUCCUAGGAAGUGGUGCCUUCCAGUGUUACAAUAAAUAUAUGCUUGGCAGUUUGAAAGCUGCAGCUGAGAACUAUGGUAAACCGAAGACACCAACUUUUUAAAGGGAGAAUAUGGUAGCUGGAACAGUGAGUAUGGCGAAUUCUUUCUCUCGUGGUAUGGUACUCACAAAUGCUAUUGGAUCAUGGAGAUCGAAUACUUUCGUCGGCUACCUUGAUCUUUGAAAACCGAGGGGUCAAAAUCUCGGUUAAAGUUGCUGGAACCCAUUGGCACUAUGGAACCCGGUCCCAUGCACCUGAGCUCACUGCUGGCUACUACAAUACACGAUACUGAGAUGGGUACCCAAUAGCCCGAAUGCUGGUACGCCAUGGCACUGCUUUCUAUUUCACGUGUAUUCAAAUACAGGACCACGAGCAGCCUCAGGAUGCGCAAUGUGCACCAAAGAAGUUGGUGCAGCAAGUGACGUUAGCGACCAGGGAAGAUCAGGUGGCCCUGGCACUGAAAGGAGAGAACGCAUUACCAAGAUACGACGAUUAUGCACACUAGCAGAUCUUGAAGGCAACUUCAUUAUCCGAUAAUGAAGAAAUGUGUGCUGUAUUUGAGGAAGAAUCCGGAGUUGUUUCAGGCUGAUAAUUGGAGGAGAUUUGUGGCGUUUGUGAAGAAGAUGAAAAUGAUAACAGUUAUGAUAUAUUUUUUUUUCUAGAAAUGAAUUUUACUUCAUUUUGUAGCUGUUGAUGUGCUAUUAUGGAGGAACAAAAAUAUAUCAUAUACGGGCAAUAAAGCUGGUUAUCAAGAUAAAAUUUCCUAAACCUUACAACACUUGAUUUUUCUAACAUUAUUCCGAUUUUUUAUCUACUAUGCUAAAAUAUAUUCCUUCAUGUACUUAUAUCUUGUGUCUUAGAUGGUGAACCGAGCUCAAAUCCCUCCUAACAACUGAGUACUUAUUGCAAUGAUUGUUGGUGAGCGUUGGCAACUAAAGAAGAUAGAUCAUGUUGAUCUUCAUAAUAAACGCGGCGCUUUUGCUCCCCUGUUUCACCUGAAGUUUUUAACAGUUGGGAUGCUUCUUCAAGAGAUGUUUUUCGGAAUGCAGAUGCAACUCGAGAUGGUGGAAAUGUAGUGGAUCUUUGUAGCUUUAAUGAGCUACCUGCCAUCAUGGAUGGAUCUUUCCAAGAAAUUGUUUGGUGAUGAUGGGCAAAUAAAUAAGCAUGGUGUCUAGAUCCCAUUCGGCUAUAUGCAUACUAUGUAUGGAUUCCAUGUUUUUGUCGAUGAACUUACUGGUAAAGGACUAAAUAUGGCUCUGAUGAUUUUACACCUGUCAGGAAGUGGUCUUUUAUAAGAAUGGUGAACAAGCUACAGAUGGUGAACUUGGAGAUCUGUGGGUUAGUUUCUUUUUAUUGUUGACCAAAUAAUAUAAUAAAUCUUUUUGAGAAAUAAGAGGUGUUUUAUUGGUGA